UGGGACAGGACAUUGAACAAGGUUGUGAGGAAACGGCACAAACAAGUACAGUGAUAAAGUCAGGAAUCACAUGGUCCCUGAAGCGUUCUGAGAGGUGGUGAACCUGCUCACUAGGUAGUGGCACCCCAGGCCUACAGCUGCAUGUCCCUGCCUUGCUCUCACUUGUCAGCAGAGGGCGCCAGUCCAUUUACUGCACCUGCUCCACAGGGAUGGCCCAUGUUGCACAUCCACUGUAGGUGGUAUCUGGAUGGGUAAUGAGACCAGGGAAGGGAAUCAAGUUGCUUUCUCCGAGGAGUAACCACACAUUCAUUAAUACAUCUUUUUACAUCCUUAGCAAAAUGGAUAGAAAGUGACCUGAAAGCAUUUGGAUGUUAGAGAGCCGCGGUGAUAUUCAGAGUAAUGCACAUCUUGGCAACUUCUCAAGUACAGAGGAUAAAGGAAGAAACAACAGCCACAAAAUCUGGAACUUUGGAAAAGCAGAUGAACAAGUGCAAAAUGGGUUUAACAGACUGGGACCUGAAACUGACAGAGUGCAGAGCUCAUGUCCCACUUCCCCUUCCAAGAUCCAGAAGUGGGAAGCAGCACCAAAGGCGGGCUGGCAAUUCGCACACUAUCCCCUUGACUGUGAUUGUUUGCCUUGAAUUGUGAGGACUCAGCACUCCAGAGCACUUAUGGAAAGGUUGAUUUGGGCUCACAGCUUGAAGCAAAGGUCCAAGCCAUCAUGGUGGGACAGAGAGGUAAGAAGGAGUGUGUAUGAGACAGCUGGUCCCAUGGCAUCACCCACAGGAAGCAGAGAGGACAAGGCAGGAAAUGAUCAGCUAUCCUAUGGAGAGGGGCGGCAUGAAAGGGAGCUUGCCCACAUCAGUGGAGAUAUUUGCAUCAGUGGCAGCUGACCUGGAGAGGUGUGUCUACCUUUCUGGUCCCUUGAAUGCAACUAUCAGCUCGAUGGACCUUUAAUGGGAGCUUCCUGGGAGCACAGUUCAGUAUCCCCUUCCUCAAGUUAGACAGUACCACUUGGCACUCCUAAAUCAGUUUCCUGUCUGGUACCACAUACACUCUGAAUGCCCCUUAUCAAAGACACAUGCCACAGAGAUCUUCUGAGUUUUCAACCACACACACAGAAGAUCUAGCUCUUGGUCUACUAGGAACAUGGAAACUGAAAGCUGUUUUGUCCAGUCAGAAAAAAGGCCAUUAAAGGGCAGGAGUCCUACAUUUAGGAAGCCUUUCUCUUUCCCUGAAGUCUCUGAAUUCAUGUUUCCAGUAAGAAAAUGCUGCCUUGCUUUUCCACCAGUUCUUCCAAAAAGGGAAUAUUUCCUGCACUGUCCAGAAAAGAAAUACAAACAACUUAGAAGCAGAAGGAUGUCAUCUAAAAGCCACAACAACCUACCUGCAGGUCUUAUUUUGUGUCUUAGUAUGGUAACAGGAAUUAGUAUUUCAGAAAACAAGAAGCUUUUGGAGUUCAUCCAACAAAGGGUAUUUUAGGAAAAAUGUUUUUCUACUGAGUUCGCUGAGUGUAGUCUACCUCAGAACAUACCCUCCUGGUUGACCAUGACAUGCUAUGUUCUUCAAAUAUUUGCGAGGCCAGUGACAUUGACUUUUCCAAACCAGAAUGAAAACCUAACAAACUACUGACAAUGAGCAUGGUUUGUUUCCUGGGUUUCUGUUGCAGAGUUUAGGAAGUAGCCUUCAAAACAGAAUAACCCUCCCUAAGCCCAGAUCUUGGGUUUUCUAUUUAUUGUCCAAUCACAGGACCCAGAGUUCUUUAGAGAAAUAACUCAUUCCAGGACUAGAACUGGGGAUAUGCAAGAUAGCCUGGAGGAUCUAUGGUGCCAAGGAAUAAGGACAUGCUCAAAAGGCAAAAGCAGGUCAUGUCAAGGAGACUGGCACCACCACCACCAACGGCCGAGGUGGGAACAAUAUAAGCAACACAACAGAACAGAACUGAAUUAGAGCCCAAAGUAUAAAACUAAUAUCCAACAGCGCAUACGGACAGAAACAAAUGGGGGAGAGAGGAGACCAAUCUGUGUGGAAUCUUAAACAAACCCUAAGCAAUUCUCUGAGGUGGGUGGGUGGCACAUACUUUCCAGUCCAUACACAUGGGCUAACUAGAGUGAUGACCUUCCAAGCUGCACUGCACAGAGAGAGGGAGAGAGCUGUUGGACAUCGGGAAACCUGCCAGACAUCACGGCCAGGCCAAGUGAUCAAAGCUCAGGUGAACAGUGGUUAAGUCAUAUAGACAGCAUUUGGGACUAGGGUUUGAAAAGCCAGCUGUUCCACUGGCAUUUGAAUUCAGAGAAUAUGCAAAGCCACUGCUGGCUAGGACAGAGGGGCAUCCAUUGUUGGAUGUCCUCAGAGACGUCUGCUCUAUAGACAGUGUUGCCCAGUGCUCUGGUUUUGACUCUUUUUUUUUUUUUUUUUUUCUCCAUAAAUGGUUGGCUAUACUUUUUAGGAACUCAAAAAGCUUUCUCCAUGACCCAAUAACUAAAAUUAGUAGUAAAUGCACACAGCUGUUAUGAGUUAAAAAUAGAUGGUCCUGGAUACCAUCAUUAUUUGGAGCUUUUACUAGAAAGACUUGAUGUUUAGUUAGGUUGACAUCCCCCAGUGGGUAGCUAGUGCUUAACAAUACAGACCUGAGAAAGGUGGUUACUAGGUGCUACUAGUGACUGGUUCUGCACCCUGCCUGCCUGUCUGGGCUGAAUUCCCAGACUGUUUCUCUAUACUUUGCUUCCCAGCAAGAAUACCCCAGUGUCUUCAUCUUUGAGAUGGGAUGGCCUCUCUUUCACAGGGCUUCUGUGAUCAUUGCCCUCUUCGGAGGAGCGAGUCUGCUGACUGGUUAGACAGGUCCACACUGAGAGACAUAAGGAGCUGACCCGAGAAAGUAAGUCUAAGGCUGGCUUCCUUCACUGAGAAAGUCUAGCCAUGUAGCACACAGUGGUUCUUCUGGUGUGGGCACGCCACACUUGAUUCAUCCGUGUCCGAACGCAUCUAGAGACAGUGAGAUCAGGACUGAUUUCAUUUAUGUAUUUACCCAUGAUUUCCACAGACUACUGGUGAGAACAGGAGACAGAAAAUGGUGAAGCAGUUUAGGGUAAAAAGACCCCAUUAAGUAAAAACUGUCUCUGGUUCUACCAGGACCAGAGGCUAGAGAUACCAGGAAGGGGGUCCUGUUUUUCUUCAUCUCUUUCUCCUAAAGGAGUAUGCCUUUCCAGGAAACCAUAUUGAGGGGGUGACUGAAACUUCAAGGCUUCUGGACACCUGAAAUUGGAAUGAGACUGACCAGCUCAUUAACUCCAAGGGAAAGGCCCAGUGGAAUCCCACUCCUGGGGAACC